rnacentral:rRNA from 1 species
GGCUUCGGCCAUGAGUAGAGCGGCGAACGGGUGAGUAACACGUGGACAACCUGCCUUGGUGCGGGGGAUAACCUGGGGAAACCUGGGCUAAUACCGCAUACGCUGUUCGGGCUUCGGCCUGUUCAGGAAAGCUGGCCUCUGCUUGCAAGCUGGCGCGCUGAGAGGGGUCCGCGGCUGAUUAGCUAGUUGGUGAGGUAACGGCUCACCAAGGCGACGAUCAGUAGCCGGCCUGAGAGGGUGAUCGGCCACACUGGGACUGAGACACGGCCCAGACUCCUACGGGAGGCAGCAGUGGGGAAUAUUGGACAAUGGGCGCAAGCCUGAUCCAGCAACGCCGCGUGGAGGAAGAAGAUCCUCGGAUCGUAAACUCCUGUCAGGAGGGGCGAAGGGCCGUCGGUGAACAGCCGGCGGUCUUGACGGUACCUCCAGAGGAAGCCCCGGCUAACUCCGUGCCAGCAGCCGCGGUAAUACGGGGGGGGCGAGCGUUAUUCGGAAUUAUUGGGCGUAAAGGGCGCGUAGGCGGCUUCGCAAGUCAAAGGUGAAAUCCCUCGGCUCAACCGAGGAAUUGCCUUUGAAACUGCGUGGCUUGAGGCCGGGAGGGGGCAGUGGAAUUCCCAGUGUAGCGGUGAAAUGCGUAGAUAUUGGGAGGAACACCAGUGGCGAAGGCGGCUGCCUGGACCGGUUCUGACGCUGAUGCGCGAAAGCGUGGGUAGCAAACAGGAUUAGAUACCCUGGUAGUCCACGCUGUAAACGAUGGGUACUCGGUGUCG